GCUACGGCAAGGUAUAUAUGAUGCUUGAUUGACUGAGGGGGGGAGUUGAAUAUUUGGAAUCUCUAUAUCGUCGGGAAUGGCACUUUCAGAGUCUUCAUUAAUUUAUUGAUUAUGAUUCUAGAGAUGCUAUGAAAUUUUAUACUCGGAAAAUGUACUUCUUCUCCUCCUGAGAUCUUAUCAUCUGGGACACAAAUAGGGAAUAAAAAUUACGAGUCCUAUAGAUCUAAAUUACGGGAGCUACAAUAUACUGAUUCCCCAAGCUGUCUUAAAAAAGUAGGAUUUUAUGAGAAAAAGUAGGAAAAAGUAGGAAAAUCAAGC
rnacentral:lncRNA from 1 species